GACAGAGGAUGCAAGCGUUAUCCAGAAUGAUUGGGCGCAAAGCGUCUGUAGGUGGCUUUUCAAGUCCACCGUCAAAUCCCAGGGCUCAACCCUGGACAGGCGGUGGAAACUACCAAGCUAGAGUACGGUAGGGGCAGAGGGAAUUUCCGGUGGAGCGGUGAAAUGCAUUGAGAUCGGAAAGAACACCAACGGCCUAAGCACUCUGCUGGGCCGACACUGACACUGAGAGACGAAAUCUAGGGGAGCAAAUGGG
rnacentral:rRNA from 1 species